rnacentral:rRNA from 1 species
AGCGAACGCUGGCGGCGUGCCUAACACAUGCAAGUCGAACGUGAAAGGGAGCAAUCCCAAGUAAAGUGGCGUACGGGUGAGUAACACGUAGGUAAUCUACCCCAGAAUCUGGAAUAACCGGCCGAAAGGCUGGCUAAUACUGGAUAGAGCGACGGAAUCCGUAAUUGGGUUUUUCGGGAAAGGGAGCCUGUAAAAAGGCCUUCGUUCUGGGAUGAGCCUGCGUCCCAUCAGCUAGUUGGUGAGGUAAAAGCUUACCAAGGCAAUGACGGGUAGCUGGUCUGAGAGGGCGAUCAGCCACACUGGAACUGAAACACGGUCCAGACUCCUACGGGAGGCAGCAGUGGGGAAUCUUGCGCAAUGGACGAAAGUCUGACGCAGCAACGCCGCGUGAGUGAAGAAGGCCUUCGGGUUGUAAAGCUCUGUCGAGUGGGACGAAAAUGCUUGGAGUUCACAGCUCCAGGAACUGACGGUACCACUAAAGGAAGCACCGGCUAACUCCGUGC